AGUCUGCGUACCUACAUGUUUGUUUAUUUCCCCAUCCGAAUGUGAAGUGCAGAAAUCAGUGUAAUAGGGCAACAAGUAGCCUCGGAGUUUUCCAAGGGGGUUUCACCCCGAUAAAACAUAACGCCCGCCCUCUGCUGAUUCCGGUGUUUGAUACCCAAGGCAGAAACUCCAAGGAUCCUGAGCACCAGUGCACAUGACUAUGCAUACUUAAAGCAAGCGCUCAUUCCGGACGGCUUGUGAGAGCGCUGAGUAGUUCUGAGCAGCUCAAACGCUAGGCAAGACAUCCCUCCAAGGAGGCUGUCACAGUGGAGGGGUAAUCAAAGGAUGGCAUUAUGCUAAACCACUGCAAACCAUACAAGAGUGUUAGGAAGAAACCUUUGCCAAAACCAGUAUACAGCAGAGUCUGGGACGUGAAUGAAGGCUGACUGUAUGAGGCUCACUCUUGACAAAAUGGAAUUAAUACUGGUGGGUUGAGAAAAGCAACUGGAAGAUAUAGACAUCUCGGCCCCUUUGAUAGAAAAAUGGGAAAUUCAGACUCACGGUGGUUAGAAUCACUAGGGAGACAAGGUGGG